UACGGAGGGUGCAAGCGUUGUUCGGAAUUACUGGGCGUAAAGCGCGUGUAGGCGGUCGAGCAAGUCAGAUGUGAAAGCCUUCCGCUUAACGGAAGAAGUGCAUUUGAAACUACUCGGCUGGAGUACGGGAGAGGAGAGUGGAAGUCCCGGUGUAGAGGUGAAAUUCGUAGAUAUCGGGAGGAACACCAGUGGCGAAAGCGUCUCUCUGGCCCGAUACUGACGCUGAUACGCGAAAGCGUGGGGAGCAAACAGG
rnacentral:rRNA from 1 species